rnacentral:rRNA from 1 species
GACGAACGCUGGCGGCGUGCUUAACACAUGCAAGUCGAACGGAAAGGCCCUGCUUUUGUGGGGUGCUCGAGUGGCGAACGGGUGAGUAACACGUGAGUAACCUGCCCUUGACUUUGGGAUAACUUCAGGAAACUGGGGCUAAUACCGGAUAGGAGCUCCUGCUGCAUGGUGGGGGUUGGAAAGUUUCGGCUGUUGGGGAUGGACUCGCGGCUUAUCAGCUUGUUGGUGGGGUAGUGGCUUACCAAGGCUUUGACGGGUAGCCGGCCUGAGAGGGUGACCGGCCACAUUGGGACUGCGAUACGGCCCAGACUCCUACGGGAGGCAGCAGUGGGGAAUAUUGCACAAUGGGCGGAAGCCUGAUGCAGCAACGCCGCGUGCGGGAUGACGGCCUUCGGGUUGUAAACCGCUUUCGCCUGUGACGAAGCGUGAGUGACGGUAAUGGGUAAAGAAGCACCGGCUAACUACGUG